rnacentral:misc_RNA from 1 species
GGCUUAGGUGCUGCUGUGAUAUCAAAAGAUCUGGAAAGGUGUGAUCGUGUAAGCAAGGCUUUCCGGGCAGGUAUCGUAUGGAUCAAUUGCUCACAGCCAUGCUUCUGUCAAGCUCCAUGGGGAGGCCUCAAGCGUAGUGGUUUUGGUCGUGAAUUAGGAGAAUGGGGACUUGAGAACUACUUGAGUGUGAAGCAGGUGACU